GUUGAGUGGCCAUCCUGUGCAGGAAUGAACAGAUAUGUUAAUUUUUGGCAAAUUCGUGAAGUUCUUGGAGAGAGUUCCUUUGAGGCAUCCACUUGCAUUGUGAGAAGUCAAGAUUACUCGCCGGCACCACAGAGGAAUUUAGUUAAUGCGCUUCAGCUUCCUGACGGAACAAAACAGCUUCAGCAAAACAAGAAGUCUGUUUCCUCGUCAUCCACCUUCCGACUCUUUGGCAAAAAAAUGACACCUGGCGUGCCACCAAGAAGAGACACCAGUGGUCUUUCUGGACAGGUAUCAUUAUUCAGCCAUUAUCUUCCCCAUGAUGAGGACGAUGGACAAGUUCCAACGAUGAGGCAACGGCUAGAGACGCUGUUUCCUGAUAACAUCUGAGGCCAAGGACACCUACCUAACUAAAGAUUUGCUCUGUCACUUGUGACUUUGCGAGACUGGGUCCGUCAUGAAUCAUCUAUGCCAGCUUUGGUCUGAAUUUAGUUUGAAGGUUAUUCUGAAUAGUUUCAAAAUUCGGGGAACAAGUUUGCAGUGUUAAAUGUCCAUUCUAAAUCUGACGGAAUUGGAAAA